GUAAGCCUCGCCGUGCGGGCUGGCCAUAUAGGGUAAGAGUGCCCAUAGGGCACCACCAGUCCAUUCCCGAGAGGGAAAAGGCGAGGCAGGAGGA
rnacentral:ncRNA from 1 species